UGAUAUUGUUUAGUGUUGAACAGCUAAGUAUGCCGUUUAGAGUUGAAUUGUACUGAUAUUUGCAAUAUCCUUUGAAAUACAAAAAUAAUAAGAUGAUGGAUGGGUCCCCUCUGAUAAUCCCUGUUACGCCUUCAAUCUGUGGCCCACAUUUUCACAACUCUGUUCUUUGGACCUCCAUGUUUAGGGAUGGUAACAGUUUUCAAACAUUUCGAGACUCUCUAUGCCACCAUACAUAUUGUUGUAUUUUACUUCAAAAUUUUCCCACACUUCUACAAAUAGCCCUGUAUUGGAAUAACACACAAAUUCUAGUUGCGUGUUUCAUGUUUCCUGGCAGCGCCCUGACUGAGAAAGUCAUUGGUAGGUACCAGGGAGUACUCCAGGAAACGUACCCUGCAGAUGGGAUUUUCCGAUUGGAUUGUGACAAAUCGGUGACACAUAAUGCCCUCCUUGCUCAUGAUAAAGGGCACAGACAGUCUAUCCAUUCUUCAUCCUUGUGCAGUGUGCUGGAGGACCAGUGGAUGGCAAGUGAAGGGGAGAUCAACUCGCUCCAGCUCUUCAUCCCUGAGGCAGCCAUGUUGCUGUUACUGGGACUCAGGCAGAGUGCUGACUGCUCUCAAACCCUGUUGUCUUCAUCCAGAUUCACUGUGUCGAUUGCUGUGAUUUUCACGGGCACCAUCAAGCCUUCGAAUGGAAUCAUAUCUGAUAUAAGAUUUAGUUACAAUGUGAAUCACAAAGUGCUCAACAAACACAGAAUGGAUGAGGAGAAGAAGAAAUAGGAGGAGAAGGAGGAAGCAGCGGAGGAGGAGCGGUAGCAGCAGCAGCAGCCCUGGUAUUAACAGUAGUUGUAAAAGCAAUGCUUUAAAAUGUCCCGGGCAUUGUUGUGUUAAAUGCUUUAAUUGCAUCCUUUUACUUCAUCGUCACUACAACCCAUGAGAUAGGGACAUUUAUUUUCCUCAUCAUAGAGAGUAGGAACCUGAGGUUCCAAGAAGUAAGACCACCCAGGGAGCACCUGGUCAGCAGGAUGAAGAUGCGAGAGGGGCGUGCGCCGUGCG
rnacentral:lncRNA from 1 species